rnacentral:ncRNA from 1 species
GAGAACUAGCAAUUUGAAAAGUCAAAUGAAAGGGUAACGCCUUGAAGGGCUUUCUUUAAUAUCCGAUUAGCAUAGGUAUAAUUAAGUAUAUCUUUGUUAAAAGCUCGGUGAAGUCGGCUGAGAGCUACCGUAAGUAGAAAUACACGAAAACUAUUCAGAGGUGAAUGGCGUAGCCUAUAGGUCGGAAGUCCAUAAA